CAAUAGCGUAUAUUAAAGUUGUUGCGGUUAAAAAGCUCGUAGUUGGAUUUCUGCCGAGGACGACCGGUCCGCCCUCUGGGUGUGUAUCUGGUUUGGCCUGGGCAUCUUCUUGGAGAACGUAGCUGCACUUGACUGUGUGGUGCGGUGUCCAGGACUUUUACUUUGAGGAAAUUAGAGUGUUUCAAGCAGGCACACGCCUUGAAUACAUUAGCAUGGAAUAAUAAGAUAGGACUUUGGUACUAUUUUGUUGGUUUGCGCACCAAAGUAAUGAUUAAUAGGGACAGUUGGGGGUAUUCGUAUUCCGUUGUCAGAGGUGAAAUUCUUGGAUUUACGGAAGACGAACUACUGCGAAAGCAUUUACCAAGGAUGUUUUCAUUAA
rnacentral:rRNA from 1 species